rnacentral:rRNA from 1 species
AGCCUUCAGCAAACCAAGUAUUGAAGGUGAUGCCUGCCCAGUGACACUCACGUUCAACGGCCGCGGUAUUCUAACCGUGCGAAGGUAGCGCAAUCAAUUGUCUCAUAAAUCGAGACUUGUAUGAAUGGCUAAACGAGGUCUUAACUGUCUCCUACAGACAAUCAGUGAAAUUGAUCCCCCUGUGCAAAAGCACGGAUAAACACACAAGACGAGAAGACCCUGUGGAACUUAAAAAUCUAAGGCCACCCCACUAAUAGCCCCCCGCCUAACCAGGCCCACCCUAUUCUCACGCUGGCCUACAUUUUUCGGUUGGGGCGACCUUGGAGAAGAACAAACCCUCCAAAAAUAAGAUCCCACCCCUUAACCAAGAGCAACCUCUCGACGUACUAAUAGUAACCCGACCCAGUAUAAUUGAUCAAUGGACCAAGCUACCCCAGGGAUAACAGCGCAAUCCCCUUCAAGAGCUCAUAUCGACAGGGGGGUUUACGACCUCGAUGUUGGAUCAGGACACCCUAAUGGUGCAGCCGCUAUUAAGGGUUCGUUUGUUCAACGAUUAACAGUCCU